GAUGAACGCUGGCGGCGCGCCUAACACAUGCAAGUCGAACGGUUAAAGCACCUUUUAGGUGUGUAUAAAGUGGCGAACGGCUGAGUAACACGUGGGCAACCUGCCCUCCUCUUGGGGAUAGCCUCGGGAAACCGAGGAUAAUACCCGAUACUUCAAUGUGCCGCAUGGCGACAUUGAGAAAGCUUUUGCGGAGAAGGAUGGGCCCGCGGCCUGUUAGCUUGUUGGUGGGGUAGAGGCCUACCAAGGCAAUGAUGGGUAGCUGGGUUGAGAGACCGACCAGCCAGAUUGGGACUGAGACACGGCCCAGACUCCUACGGGAGGCAGCAGUGGGGAAUCUUGCACAAUGGGCGAGAGCCUGAUGCAGCGACGCCGCGUGCGGGACGAAGGCCUUCGGGUUGUAAACCGCUUUGCAGCAGGGACGAGGCGAUAAGUGACGGUACCUGCAGAAGAAGCCCCGGCUAA
rnacentral:rRNA from 2 species